rnacentral:lncRNA from 1 species
UCAGGAUUCAUGGUUUCCGUGGGAUUUUUGCUGUUUUUUAAUUGUCAGAAUUAUAGCUGAGGAAACAUUUUUUGUCUGGGCUAAUAGCUUUGGUAUUGAGAAGCUAUGCUAUAAAGUAACAAAGUCAUUCCUGGGUGCAAAAUUGUAACAGACAAUUCCAAGAAAACAGAUUUGUUACAGAAUUUCUACAGCUACAAUGUAAUGUAAGGUCCAAAGAAGCAGCUUCAUGAG